rnacentral:rRNA from 1 species
GAUGAACGCUGGCGGUCUGCUUAACACAUGCAAGUCGAACGGAAUCCUUCGGGAUUUAGUGGCGGACGGGUGAGUAACGCGUGAGAAUCUGCCUUCAGGUUCGGGACAACAGCUGGAAACGGCUGCUAAUACCGGAUGUGCCGAGAGGUGAAAGCUUUAGUGCCUGAAGAUGAGCUCGCGUCUGAUUAGCUAGUAGGAGUGGUAAUGGCACCCCUAGGCGACGAUCAGUAGCUGGUCUGAGAGGAUGAUCAGCCACACUGGGACUGAGACACGGCCCAGACUCCUACGGGAGGCAGCGGUGGGGAAUUUUCCGCAAUGGGCGCAAGCCUGACGGAGCAAGACCGCGUGAGGGAAGAAGGUCUGUGGAUUGUAAGCCUCUUUUGAUGGGGAAGAAGACAGUGACGGCACCCAUCGAAUCAGCCUCGGCUAACUCCGUGCCAGCCGCCGCGGUAA